rnacentral:rRNA from 1 species
GACGAACGCUGGCGGCGCGCUUAACACAUGCAAGUCGAACGGAAAGGCCUGCUUUCCCUUGUGGAUUGCGGGUACUCGAGUGGCGAACGGGUGAGUAACACGUGAGUGAUCUGCCCCCAACUUGGGUAUAAGCCUGGGAAACUGGGUCUAAUUCCCGAUAGGACUGCAGGGUGGUGCCUGUGGUUGAAAACGAUUUUCUAGUGGUUGGGGAUGAGCUCGCGGCGUAUCAGCUUGUUGGUGGGGUAAUGGCCUACCAAGGCGGCGACGGGUAGCCGGCGUGGGAGGGUGGACGGGCACAUUGGGACUGAGAUACGGCCCAGACUCCUACGGGAGGCAGCAGUGGGGAAUAUUGCGCAAUGGGAGGAAGCCUGAUGCAGCGACGCCGCGUGGGGGAUGACGGCCUUCGGGUUGUAAACUCCUUUCGGCCGCGAGGAAGCCACCUGGUUGGAGGGGUGGUGACGGUAGUGGUAGAAGAAGCACCGGCUAACUACGUG